UACACGUGAAAUUAUUAAUCUCACUAAAGGAACAGAAAGUAAAGAACAUUACUCGAUAAAGAAUAUCAUUGAUCGAUUAAAAAAUUAACAUCUUACCCACACAGAUUG